rnacentral:tRNA from 1 species
CUGGCCACUUGGCCGCAGCGGAGGAGUUUCAUCCGCUUCUGGUUACUUUUAAUCCUUAGGUUCUGGGUUCGAGUCCCAGGCGGCCCA